UGAAUUUGCCCAGCUCCUGCGAUGUACUUAUCAGGCUUUCGAAGGCAGUAGUGGUGAUUUCAGGAAAACAUCUGGCUGCAAUCUCAACUAUGUCGGCUGUAACUUGACUGUUCGCAGCUUCACAGUCAUAAAAGAUAUAAAGAGGUUUUUGCCUUGACUUUUCUACAGAUAAUGGCUCAUACUCGACAUUUUUCGCAGCCAUUAUACAGCUCUUGUUUUGGUUCGCGCACGUGUGCUGUGGAAUGUGUGGACUUCGC